UACCUGACUUAGCUGGAAGCUCUCUGG
rnacentral:piRNA from 1 species